GGACUACAGACAGAUCGAUCAGAAUGGGAUGGAGGAAGUGACUGGCAACUGGAGGCUCCUGCAGAACAAAUGCAUGUGAACCACAUAUCUCGUGAAGAGGAGAUCACCUAAUGGAGUAUUAUACAGUAUACAGUACACUAGAUUAGAAGUGCAAGCAAAUCUUAUGGAUUUUGCGAUGAGAGGCUACAAUUCCACACAAUCUUCUUCAGUCACGAGGACCAGGCAGACAUGUGCGUCACUGCUAAUGUCCAAAAGUGGAAGAUCGCAAGAAUGACUAUUUCCCCAGGAAAACAAUUGCGAACAUGGACACUCGGGGGGGAGAUGGGAAAAAGGAACAUGAAUGAAAAAUGAAAAUCAC